rnacentral:SRP_RNA from 1 species
UCAUACUAACCGGGGAGUUAGCGGUGCCCUGAACCUGAGAUCCGCUACAGCAGGGGUGAAUGGCAUUAUGAGGCCGUUUGCUGUGCCGCCGGGCGGAGAAAGAACCCGUUGAGGGAUGGGUCCUGCACAAUUUGCGUCCGUGAACCAUGUCAGAUGGGGAACCAAGCAGCAUUAAGCGGAAGAGCAGAUGUGUUGCGGGAGUGCCUGUCCGGAAGAGGAAGGCUUCGUUUUCGGGUGUAGCAGGCGUUCGACUUUUGCUGUAUGA